AAUGAACGCUGGCGGCGUGCCUAAUACAUGCAAGUCGAGCGAACAGACGAGGAGCUUGCUCCUCUGACGUUAGCGGCGGACGGGUGAGUAACACGUGGAUAACCUACCUAUAAGACUGGGAUAACUUCGGGAAACCGGAGCUAAUACCGGAUAAUAUAUUGAACCGCAUGGUUCAAUAGUGAAAGACGGUUUUGCUGUCACUUAUAGAUGGAUCCGCGCCGCAUUAGCUAGUUGGUAAGGUAACGGCUUACCAAGGCAACGAUGCGUAGCCGACCUGAGAGGGUGAUCAGCCACACUGGAACUGAGACACGGUCCAGACUCCUACGGGAGGCAGCAGUAGGGAAUCUUCCGCAAUGGGCGAAAGCCUGACGGAGCAACGCCGCGUGAGUGAUGAAGGUCUUCGGAUCGUAAAACUCUGUUAUUAGGGAAGAACAAAUGUGUAAGUAACUAUGCACGUCUUGACGGUACCUAAUCAGAAAGCCACGGCUAACUACGUG
rnacentral:rRNA from 1 species